rnacentral:rRNA from 1 species
UACGUAGGUGGCACGCGUUGUCCGGAUUUACUGGGCGUAAAGAGCGCGCAGGCGGUCGUCCAAGUCGCGUGUGAAAGCCCCCGGCUCAACUGGGGAGGGUCACGCGAUACUGGUCGACUCGAAGGCAGGAGAGGGUAGUGGAAUUCCCGGUGUAGUGGUGAAAUGCGUAGAUAUCGGGAGGAACACCAGUGGCGAAGGCGACUACCUGGCCUGUUCUUGACGCUGAGGCGCGAAAGCUAGGGGAGCAAACGGG